UCCACAGCAUGACCUGCUGUCACCAUUAAUGGAGCUGCGUGACUAGACAAAGCCCAGGAAGUCCUCAGCAAGCUGGGUCUAAGUAGGCAGCACAGUGUCCUCAGACAUCCCACAGAAAUGGUGACUCUUUGACCUGACACCUCAGUCACCACCACAUGCUACGAGCUACACACUGCACAAGCAAGAUCAGCUCUGUUUUCAGGCUCUACUAUCUCCUGAGGGAAAGAUCUGGGACUUUACAGCUAAAUGCUUGACUGUCUGUUUGCUGUUUGGUGCUCAGCAUGUACUGCACAGUUAGUUUUUAGAGCUUUAUCCGUAAAAAAAAGAUGACUGCUGUGACGACAACAAUAAUGAGAGCAGUGAGAGUAAGGUUAUGGGCUGGCAGCUAAUCAGUGAGCUGAAAGUCACUAUAUCAAUUCAGUUUUAUUUGUAUAAAGCCAAA